UUGAGCCGGAUGCCGCGAAAGCGGCACGUCCGGUUCUUAGGGGGGUGCGGCUCCGCAAGGGGCCGCACCUACCCGAC
rnacentral:ncRNA from 1 species